rnacentral:rRNA from 1 species
AAACUUUACAAUGCGGGAAACCGUGAUAAGGGGACACCGAGUGCUAGCGUCAUAUGCUGGCUGUCCAGGUGUACACCUGUAGCAAGGGCCGGCAAGACCGGUGCCAGCCGCCGCGGUAACACCGGCGGCCCGAGUGGUGAUCGUGAUUAUUGGGUCUAAAGGGUCCGUAGCCGGUUUGGUCAGUCCUCCGGGAAAUCUAAUAGCCUACAAC